rnacentral:rRNA from 1 species
UAGGGAAUAUUAGUAAUGGGCGAAAGCCUGAACUAGCAACACCGCGUGUGCGAAGAAGGCCUUCGGGUUGUAAAGCACUUUUUGAGAGGAUGAGGAAGGACGGUACUCUCAGAAUAAGUCUCGGCUAACUACGUGCCAGCAGCCGCGGUAACACGUAGGAGGCAAACGUUAUCAGGAUUUACUGGGCGUAAAGCGCGUGUAGGUGGUUUGGUAAGUAGAGCGUGAAAGCUCCUGGCUCAACUGGGAGAGGUCGUUCUAAACUGCCGGACUAGAGGAUGGUAGAGGGAGGUCGAAUUCCGGGUGUAGCGGUGGAAUGCGCAGAUAUCCGGAGGAACACCAGUGGCGAAAGCGGCCUCCUGGACCAUUCCUGACACUCAGACGCGAAAGCUAGGGUAGCAAACG